GGCAUUUUCAACAACAAAAGGAAAAAAAAAUUAUUUUAAAAAGUUCAAUCUCAGGACCUCUGAUUAAGGUAAAUAACCAUAGAAAACAAUUUUGCAUCUAAUACAAGCUAGAGUAUGAAUGUCCAACUCUAAAGCUUAAAUCAGACAAAUCUAUUUCAAGAUCCACUUGCUUCUAAGAGCUGAGGUUUAAAAAUUGAGGUGGCCGAAACUUUGAGAAAACAAAAUCAUCAAUGCUACCACUGAUCAAGAGAGUGCAGACUUUAAAGAUGUGGUGAAGACCUCUAAUUCCUUCAAGCCUUCUUCAGGCGAUUUUGCCUCACCUAAUAUUCUUACCAUUGCACUACCA
rnacentral:misc_RNA from 1 species